GAUGAAGAACGCAGCGAAAUGCGAUAACUAAUGUGAAUUGCAGAAUUCCGUGAAUCAUCGAGUCUUUGAACGCACAUUGCGCCCCCUGGUAUUCCGGGGGGCAUGCCUGUCCGAGCGUCAUUACAACCCUCAAGCCCGGCUUGUGUAAUGGGCGGCCGUCUCUCCCCCCGGGGGGAGACGCCCCCGAAACUCAGUGGGGAUGUCGCGAUACCGAAGCCUCAGCUAAUGGGUAAACCACAGCUGCAAUGGCCGCGGCCGGCGUCCGCCUUCCACGGUCCGUCCGCCUAGCGCGGGCGGCCUUCUCAAGGUUGACCUCGGAUCAGGUAGUGAUACCCGCUGAACUUAAGCAUAUCAAUAAGCGGAGGA
rnacentral:misc_RNA from 1 species